rnacentral:rRNA from 1 species
AGGAGCUUGCUCCUUUGACGUUAGCGGCGGACGGGUGAGUAACACGUGGGUAACCUACCUAUAAGACUGGGAUAACUUCGGGAAACCGGAGCUAAUACCGGAUAACAUUUUGAACCGCAUGGUUCGAUAGUGAAAGGUGGUUUUGCUGUCACUUAUAGAUGGACCCGCGCCGUAUUAGCUAGUUGGUAAGGUAACGGCUUACCAAGGCGACGAUACGUAGCCGACCUGAGAGGGUGAUCGGCCACACUGGAACUGAGACACGGUCCAGACUCCUACGGGAGGCAGCAGUAGGGAAUCUUCCGCAAUGGGCGAAAGCCUGACGGAGCAACGCCGCGUGAGUGAUGAAGGUCUUCGGAUCGUAAAACUCUGUUAUCAGGGAAGAACAUACGUGUAAGUAACUAUGCACGUCUUGACGGUACCUAAUCAGAAAGCCACGGCUAACUACGUGCCAGCAGCCGCGGUAAUACGUAGGUGGCAAGCGUUAUCCGGAAUUAUUGGGCGUAAAGCGCGCGUAGGCGGUUUUUUAAGUCUGAUGUGAAAGCCCACGGCUCAACCGUGGAGGGUCAUUGGAAACUGGAAAACUUGAGUGCAG